rnacentral:sRNA from 1 species
CCCACCAUGCCCUUGUCUUCUUUUUCCUUCACCCCCUUGGUCUGGGGGAUAACAACGAAGCUGUCUAUAAUUCCUUUCCCGUGUCUCUCAGUUUCGUACCCUUCGGGUUCUCUCGUUGAACUCUGUCACUACAUCGUAGGGAAGCAUGGAGCUUGCUGAGAAUUCCCCCAACUCUAUGUUGACCAGUAUGCCUACGCGAAAUGCAAGUUGGGCAUCAUUAUUCUUUUUCACCUCAAGAAAACAUGCUGUUUCUCUCAUUUUCGGAUCUCUGUUCACUAUAGGGGCCGGUGUCCUUGUUCCAAUGUUGGCUGUGCUGCUUGGGAAGAUAUUUGGAGCCUUUUCAGGAUUCGGGGAGGGCUCUCUAACCUCAGAUCAAUUGAUACAUACCAUAUCUGCUCAUUGCGUGUAUUUAUUGGGUCUCGGAAUUAUCAUUUGGCUGCUGCAAGCCGGUCACUUUACAUUCUGGAUGGCUUUUGGAGAACUCCAAGCAAAAAACGCGCGAGAGAAAUCCUUCAUGGAGUUGCUCAAGAAGGAUAUAUCUUGGUUUGAAAUGAAACAAGACGGAGUCUUAGCUCUUUUACCGCGUCUCCAAACACAGAUCCGAGAUCUUCAAUUGGCGACGUCACAACCACUAGGUUGUGUUUUACAGAGGGUAGUUACGUUUAUCACUGCGCUGAUUUUGGCCCUUUACACCUCCUGGAAGCUGACC